rnacentral:rRNA from 1 species
CCCAGAGUCGCUAACUGAGACCAAGGUAGCGAGCCUUACGAGGCUUAGCGGUCGCGAAAACUCGCCAAUGCACGAAAGUGUGAGUGGGCUACUCCAAGUGUCAUUCUUACGGAUGACUGUCGCCCAGUAUUACAAGCUGGGAAAGGAAGGAGAGGGCAAGGCUGGUGCCAGCCGCCGCGGUAAAACCAGCUCUUCGAGUGGUCAGGACGAAUAUUGGGUCUAAAGCGCUCGUAGCCGGACAUGUAGGUUCUUGGUUAAAUCCGACAGCAUAACUGUCGACCUGCUGGGAAUACCGCAAGUCUUGGGAGCGGGAGAGGAUAGAGGUAGUCGUAGGGNCAGGGGUGAAAUCCAGUGAUCCUACGGCGACCACCGAUGGCGAAGGCAUCUAUCUGGAACGUCUCCGACGGUGUGGGGCGAAAGCUAGGGGAGCGACCUGGAUUAGAUACCCGGUUAGUCCUAGCCGUAAACGAUGCCGACUAGGUGUUGCGACGGCCAAGAGCCGUUGCGGUGCCACAGCGAAGGCGUUAAGUCGGCCACCUGGGGAGUACGGUCGCAAGACUGAAACUUAAAGGAAUGANCGGGGGCGCAC